GGAUGUGUAGCUCAGUGGUAGAGUGCGUACUUAGCAUGUACAAGGUCCUGGGUUCAAAUCCCAGCACCA
rnacentral:tRNA from 1 species